GGGGCCGGCGGAGCGCGGCCGGGCCGCCCCGGCCGCAGGUGACAGAGCGGCCACCCCCGCCCAGCACCGCCCCCCGCCGGCGGGAUCUCGGCGCGCUCUGCCAAUCGGCUCGGGGCAGAGAGGCAGCCUCGGCCAAUCAGGCGCCGCGGAGCGCGGAGGGUGCCCCGGGAGUUUUCAUAAGGAGUGUUGAUUUCCACCUUAUAUGAAAUGGGCAAAAUGUCAUCAGGGAGGUCCACCUAUUAAAACAAACUGGUUUGGACAAGUUUAAGCCCAGUGGGAAACUGACAUCACAAAGGGAUAAAUGUGUGCAAGAACAAUCUCGAGGAGCUACUCUGGCCACCAGAUGGAGCCCAUACUGUUCCAUAAUAUGAUGGAAAUACAAUUACAAGCAGAUGGGAGGGUGUUUUUGGUUGGUUGGUUUGUUUUCGGGAACUGCACGUUUCAAAAUUCUUUAUGGCACUGAGGCAUCUCAAAAACACUGGAAAAUAAUUACACAUGCUUAAGACCCCAGGAAAAUUAGUCUUAUUACCCACUGGUCACAAAGUUGAAAAAAAUUUAAUUAUGCACAGUAAAACAAAACACACUAUGAAAUAUACUGUGAAAUAGCCUGGGUUGGUGUCCCAAAAUUCCUGUCCAAGAUGAACAGAAAAGCAGAAUCAGUUGGUAUUCCCAUUUCUAAUACCUGAUGGAGAAGGAGCAGAAACUCAUCUUGAGCUAUAUUAAGCAAUUUAGGCUGUUUACAUUUGAACUUUAUCAUCUACAGAGAUUUUUUUUUUUGUAUCUGGCCAAAAAUGUUAAGGCUUUAGGACUACACCAUUAUACUUGCUCCUGUACACUAGAAUUUAUGAUUUUGUUUCAAAUUUAGCCUCAAAACUUUUGAACACCAGAAACAACACAAUGACAAAAAGACCUUGUAAGAGACAAGAUGGACAAAGGAGAGGGUUUUUUGUUUGCUGGUUUUUUUUUCUUUUUUUUGGUUUCUUUGAUUUUUAAAACAGAAUUUGUAAAGUUAUGUUCUCAAAAUCCAACAACAUUGUGUUCACUUAAAUAGGAUUUUGUCAUGGACAAGACAAGAAAAUAAAUCAGUGAUUCUGGAAUAUGAAGUGAACAAUGGGCAUUAAAAGAAGUUCUCCAAGAAUGAAAUUAAGUGAAAUACAACACAUUAAAGACAUCUCUCCCCCAACUCUUCACCUACAUUCACAAAUUUUGAAAAAUUUGGUUUUGUGAAGCUGUCUACCACCUAUACUUACUAUUGUUCUAGCUGAAUGACAAAAUAAAAGCCAACUGAAGGAAAAAACCCUUAUUCAUCGCAAGUUUUAACAUGAUUGAAACGUAUGUCUUCCAGAAAACAAAGUAUUUAUAUUAAAUGUAUUAGUGAAAUGUUCUGAUUCUAAGAACAGGACUAUCCUCCAAUUAUGGACGUGAAAAAAUCCUAUCUGCCUUGGAGGCCACUGAGGACAAAUUAAAUUUCAAUCAUCUUUAAAGAUCACCAAAAGAGGCUUGGUUUCCUCAAAAGUCACUUUAAAAGGUUAAAGAAACAUAAAAGUCUUCUUUGUUCACAAGUGAAUAUGAAACCCUUUUCAGCAACGGGGCAGCUGCGUGAGCAGGAUGAAAAGUGUGAACUCCAAAGACAGUACAAACUCUUUGAUCACUGCCAAGUAAAACAGAUGCAAAUAUCACACAAAUGAUCUACUCCAUCCUGACACACACCAGUAGCCACCAUUUCUGAAAAAUAAGAGAAGUCUGUUGUGGCAAAUAUUAGGUGGACUUCUUAGUGGAGUAAUGUGGGACUGAUCUUAUGUAGAAGGUCAAGUAAUAAUCAUUUUCCUGCCCUGAUAAAUUUGAUUCUCUUGAAAAAUCAGUCACCACCCAACAGAGCUACUGUUACCCUCUACUGCUAGAAGACUACAACUUUGCACCAGAGCUACCAUCUGACAGGUCACAAUGGAGAAGACUAUCUGGAACAAUGUAAGAAUGCAUUACAUGGCCAAAUAUGUAAUUGGGUCAUUUAAUCCAGUGCCUUAUCACUGCAAAGUGAACAAUGUAUUAUCCAACUUUAAUCUUGCGAGAUCAAGCAGAAGACUCAGUGACAGCAUAAAAGCUCUUCAAAAAACAAGUGAACAAAAUAAAGAAAAUAAAUAUCUUGAACACCAGCUGUGGAACUACAGGAGACCAACAUGCAUAUUUCAAUUUCUCCUUGAGAAAGCAGAACUUAUGUUUUCUUAGAAUGUUAUUUUUUUUUUAUAAAUAUCUCUCAAAAACCCUUAAAAUAAAAAUGCUUCAUGGUCAUGACCAUAGCUUCCAAACACUUUCAUCCAUUUCUCCCUUCUUUCCUGCCUUAAAGCACUACACAAAUAUCAUCAUUGAUGUGUGUCAAUAUACUGGAUGAAGUUCUAAGGAAAAACAUGCUUUAUAACCAGCAUACCUUUUCC